GAUCUCCUGAGAAGUCUGGAUGGACAGCCAAGCUUCUCUUGUUUUUUGUUCUCCAAACAACUGGAAUGUGAACAUCUCUGAGGACCUUGGCCAGGAGGAUCCCUCUCCAUGAGCCCAGCCCACCUCGCCAGGAGAGCUGCCAGGCACAGACCUUGGGCUCCAGGCUGGGUACCUGGCUUCAGAGGAACAGCCGGC
rnacentral:lncRNA from 12 species